ACGAACGCUGGCGGCGUGGAUUAGGCAUGCAAGUCGCGCGACGGGUAGCCUUCGGGCUGCUACGGAGCGGCGAACGGGUGAGNUACACGUGAACAAUCUGUCCCGACGUUCCGGAUAAUUGGUCGAAAGGCCUUGUAAUACGGGCGAGGGUCGGGGUGGGGCUUCCCACUCCGAAGGAAGGUGCUUGAUCUUUUGAUUGAGCGCCGCGCUGGGAGGAGUUCGCGGCCUAUCAGCUAGUUGGUGGGGUCACGGCCUACCAAGGCGACGACGGGUAGCUGGUCUGAGAGGAUGGUCAGCCACAUUGGGACUGAGACACUGCCCAGACUCCUACGGGAGGCUGCAGUCGAGAAUCUUGGGCAAUGCACGAAAGUGUGACCCAGCGACGCCGCGUGGAGGAAGAAGGCCCUUGGGUUGUAAACUCCUUUUAUGGGGGAAGAAGGAGGCUUCGGCCUCUUGACGGUACCCCGUGAAUAAGCCACGGCUAACUACGUGCCAGCAGCCGCGGUAAUACGUAGGUGGCAAGCGUUGUCCGGAUUUACUGGGCGUAAAGGGUAUGCAGGCGGGUGCCUAAGUAGGAAGUGAAAGGUUGGGGCUCAACCCUAACACUGCUCCCUAUACUGGACACCUGGAGGGCCGGAGAGGACGAGGGAACGACCCGUGUAGCGGUGAAAUGCGUUGAGAUGGGUCGGAACACCUAUGGCGAAAGCACUCGUCUGGACGGUGGUGAAGGUUUAGCCUUCGCCUUAAAUCUGACGCUGAGAUACGAAAGCCAAGGGAGCAAACAGGAUUAGAUACCCUGGUAGUCUUGGCCAUAAACGAUGUUCACUAGGUGUCGGGGGUUACCCUUCGGUGCCGCAGCUAACGCAUUAAGUGAACCGCCUGGGGACUACGGCCGCAAGGUUGAAACUCAAAGGAAUUGGCGGGGGCCCGCACAAGCGGUGGAGCAUGUGGCUUAAUUCGAUGCAACGCGAAGAACCUUACCAGGGCUUGACAUGCACCUGCAAGCUGUUGAAAGACAGUCGCCUGCGAGGGUGGUGCACAGGUGGUGCAUGGCUGUCGUCAGCUCGUGUUGUGAAAUGUUGGGUUAAGUCCCGCAACGAGCGCAACCCUCAUGUUCUGUUACCAGCGAGUAGAGUCGGGGACUCGGAACAAACUGCCGCUGUAAAGCGGAGGAAGGUGGGGAUGACGUCAAGUCAUCAUGCCCCUUACGCCCUGGGCGGCACACAUGCUACAAUGGCCGGUACAAAGGGCUGCGAGCCUGCAAAGGUCAGCCAAUCCCAGAAAACCGGUCUCAGUUCGGAUGGAAGGCUGCAACUCGCCUUCCUGAAGGCGGAAUCGCUAGUAACCGCCGGUCAGCCAUACGGCGGUGAUACGUUCCCGGCCAUGCACACACUGCCCGU
rnacentral:rRNA from 1 species